AGUGAACGCUGGCGGUAGGCCUAACACAUGCAAGUCGAACGGCAGCACAGUAAGAGCUUGCUCUUACGGGUGGCGAGUGGCGGACGGGUGAGGAAUACAUCGGAAUCUACUUUUUCGUGGGGGAUAACGUAGGGAAACUUACGCUAAUACCGCAUACGACCUACGGGUGAAAGCAGUGGUUCUUCGGACCUUGCGCGAUUGAAUUAGCCGAUGUCGGAUUAGCUAGUUGGCAGGGUAAAGGCCCACCAAGGCGACGAUCCGUAGCGGGUCUGAGAGGAUGAUCAGCCACACUGGAACUGAGACACGGUCCAGACUCCUACGGGAGGCAGCAGUGGGGAAUAUUGGACAAUGGGCGCAAGCCUGAUCCAGCCACACCGCGUGGGUGAAGAAGGCCUUCGGGUUGUAAAGCCCUUUUGUUGGGAAAGAAAAGCAGCAGGUUAAUACCCCGCUGUUCUGACGGUACCCAAAGAAUAAGCACCGGCUAACUUCGUG
rnacentral:rRNA from 1 species